AUUGAACGCUGGCGGAAUGCUUUACACAUGCAAGUCGAACGGUAGAGGGGGCAACCCCUCGAGAGUGGCGAACGGGUGAGUAAUAUAUCGGAACGUGCCCAGUCGUGGGGGAUAACGUAGCGAAAGUUACGCUAAUACCGCAUACGAUCUAAGGAUGAAAGCGGGGGAUCGCAAGACCUCGCGCGAUUGGAGCGGCCGAUAUCAGAUUAGGUAGUUGGUGGGGUAAAGGCUCACCAAGCCAACGAUCUGUAGCUGGUCUGAGAGGACGACCAGCCACACUGGAACUGAGACACGGUCCAGACUCCUACGGGAGGCAGCAGUGGGGAAUUUUGGACAAUGGUCGCAAGUCUGAUCCAGCCAUUCCGCGUGCAGGAUGAGGGCCCUCGGGUUGUAAACUGCUUUUGUACGGAACGAAAAGGUCUCUCUUAAUACGGGGGACUCAUGACGGUACCGUAAGAAUAAGCACCGGCUAACUACGUGCCAGCCGCCGCCGUAA
rnacentral:rRNA from 1 species